CAUACUCUCUGUUUCAUUUUGCACAAGAUUUGGAACGCGAUCCAGUCCGUUCCAAAUUGUUUGACAGCUGUUGUUUGUUUUGGUUUCGCUGCAUAUUCGCGACAACUUUUGUUGCAGUUUAUCGUUUAAUUUCGGAUCGCGCGUGAUAUCGUUUUGUAUUUGUUGCUGUUUUCCUGCCCCGGACCGGGGAAAAUGCAAUCAAUAUCAUCAGCGGAAAAUUGCCCGGAAUGAAUUAUCAACCACUUCGUUUCUUAUCAGUUCUAGAACAGAACGGUACCGUUGGAUCAAGAGCUGGGCGAUCGCAACAUGACUGAUGACCAUCAGAAGCUUUCGAGAGGAAACAAGCUGGAACCGGAAUGGGAAGAGCUUUGCAGGUGUGUUUUUACUCUGGCCGUGACGGCGGAGGCGGAUGACGAUUAGGCACAGCUUUGGAUUAGUCCGCAAAGAAGUUGUUUGGGGAGGCCAAUGGAUAACCGUGCUGAAACCGGAAGACAAUGUACGGCAUAUGAAUAAAUAGUGUGCUAAUCAAGUGUA